AUCAAGAGUAACGUGGCAACAUGGGAACUGAAAUCAUUAGGCCGUUUCUGAAACCCGUAGUGAAGUAUGUUGUUUAAUUUGUAGGUACGCAAAGAACCUUACCACAAUUUGUAUAGAUCGUACAAGCGUUGCACGGCUGNNNNAAGAGCCGUUUGUGAAACUUUGGUUAGGUCCAUUAAAUUGAUGUACNNNNNNAAUUUAUUUAUUAAAAAGUAGUUCGCUGCUGUAUGGGUAGCGAUAUAAGGGACUAAGAC
rnacentral:rRNA from 1 species